UACAGAGGUCCCAAGCGUUGUUCGGAUUCGUUGGGCGUAAAGGGUGCGUAGGUGGCGUCGUAAGUCGGGUGUGAAAUUUCGGAGCUCAACUCCGAAACUGCAUUCGAUACUGCGGUGCUUGAGGACUGGAGAGGAGACUGGAAUUUACGGUGUAGCAGUGAAAUGCGUAGAGAUCGUAAGGAAGACCAGUGGCGAAGGCGGGUCUCUGGACAGUUCCUGACACUGAGGCACGAAGGCCAGGGGAGCAAACGGG
rnacentral:rRNA from 1 species